CUACUAUCCAGCGAAACCACAGCCAAGGGAACGGGCUUGGCGGAAUCAGCGGGGAAAGAAGACCCUGUUGAGCUUGACUCUAGUCCGACUUUUGGAAAUGACUUGAGAGGUGUAGGAUAAGUGGGAGCCCUUACGGGCGCAAGUGAAAUACCACUACUUUUAACGUUAUUUUACUUAUUCCGUGGGUCGGAAGCGGGGCAUG
rnacentral:ncRNA from 1 species